rnacentral:rRNA from 1 species
UACGGAGGGUGCAAGCGUUAUCCGGAUUCACUGGGUUUAAAGGGUGCGUAGGUGGGCAGGUAAGUCAGUGGUGAAAUCUCCGGGCUUAACCCGGAACUGCCGUUGAUACUAUCUGUCUUGAAUAUAGUGGAGGUGAGCGGAAUAUGUCAUGUAGCGGUGAAAUGCUUAGAUAUGACAUAGAACACCCAUUGCGAAGGCAGCUCGCUACACUAUCAUUGACACUGAGGCACGAAAGCGUGGGGGAUCAAACAGG